GAUGGACGCUGGCGGCGUGCUUAACACAUGCAAGUCGAGCGAAGCACUUAAGCGGAUCUCUUCGGAUUGAAACUUAUUUGACUGAGCGGCGGACGGGUGAGUAACGCGUGGGUAACCUGCCUCAUACAGGGGGAUAACAGUUAGAAAUGGCUGCUAAUACCGCAUAAGCGCACAGGACCGCAUGGUCUGGUGUGAAAAACUCCGGUGGUAUGAGAUGGACCCGCGUCUGAUUAGCUAGUUGGAGGGGUAACGGCCCACCAAGGCGACGAUCAGUAGCCGGCCU
rnacentral:rRNA from 1 species